rnacentral:rRNA from 1 species
AUGAACGCUGGCGGCGUGCCUGAUACAUGCAAGUCGAGCGAACGGACGAGAAGCUUGCUUCUCUGAUGUUAGCGGCGGACGGGUGAGUAACACGUGGAUAACCUACCUAUAAGACUGGGAUAACUUCGGGAAACCGGAGCUAAUACCGGAUGAUAUUUUGAACCGCAUGGUUCCAAAGUGAAAGACGGUCUUGCUGUCACUUAUAGAUGGAUCCGCGCUGCAUUAGCUAGUUGGUAAGGUAACGGCUUACCAAGGCAACGAUGCAUAGCCGACCUGAGAGGGUGAUCGGCCACACUGGAACUGAGACACGGUCCAGACUCCUACGGGAGGCAGCAGUAGGGAAUCUUCCGCAAUGGGCGAAAGCCUGACGGAGCAACGCCGCGUGAGUGAUGAAGGUCUUCGGAUCGUAAAACUCUGUUAUUAGGGAAGAACAUAUGUGUAAGUAACUGUGCACAUCUUGACGGUACCUAAUCAGAAAGCCACGGCUAACUACGUG